AUUGAACGCUGGCGGCAGGACUAACACAUGCAAGUCGAACGAGUGGCGGACGGGUGAGUAAUGUCUGGGAAACUGCCUGAUGGAGGGGGAUAACUACUGGAAAAGGUAGCUAAUACCGCAUACCAUCAGAUGUGCCCAGAUGGGAUUAGCUUGUUGGUGGGGUAACGGCUCACCAAGUCGACGAUCCCUAGCUGGUCUGAGAGGAUGACAGGCCACAAUGGAACUGAGACACGUUCCAGAGUCCUACGGGAGGCAGCAGUGGGGAAUAUUGCACAAGGGGCGCAAGCCUGAUGCAGCCAUGCCGCUUGUAUGAAGAAGGCCUUCGGGUUGUAAAGUACUUUCAGCGGGGAGGCGUGACCCGCAGAAGAAGCACCGGCUAACUCCGUGCCAGCAGCCGCGGUAAUAC
rnacentral:rRNA from 1 species